rnacentral:rRNA from 1 species
AGAGUUUGAUCAUGGCUCAGGAUGAACGCUAGCGGGAGGCCUAACACAUGCAAGCCGAGCGGUAUAAUUCUUUCGGGAAUUAGAGAGCGGCGUAUGGGUGAGGAACACGUGUGCAACCUGCCUUUAUCUGGGAGAUAGCCUUUCGAAAGGAAGAUUAAUACCCCAUAAUAUAUUGAUUGGCAUCGAUUAAUAUUGAAAGCUCCGGCGGAUAGAGAUGGGCACGCGUAAGAUUAGAGAGUUGGUGAGGUAACGGCUCACCAAGUCUACGAUCUUUAGGGGGCCUGAGAGGGUGAUCCCCCACACUGGUACUGAGACACGGACCAGACUCCUACGGGAGGCAGCAGUGAGGAAUAUUGGACAAUGGGUGCAAGCCUGAUCCAGCCAUCCCGCGUGAAGGAUUAAGGUCCUAUGGAUUGUAAACUUCUUUUAUACAGGGAUAAACCUCUCCUCGUGAGGAGAGCUGAAGGUACUGUAUGAAUAAGCACCGGCUAACUCCGUGCCAGCAGCCGCGGUAAUACGGAGGGUGCAAGCGUUAUCCGGAUUUAUUGGGUUUAAAGGGUCCGUAGGCGGAUUCGUAAGUCAGUGGUGAAAGCCUACAGCUUAACUGUAGAACUGCCGUUGAUACUGCGAGUCUUGAGUGUAGUUGAGGUAGCUGGAAUGAGUAGUGUAGCGGUGAAAUGCAUAGAUAUUACUCGGAACACCAAUUGCGAAGGCAGGUUACCAAGUUACAACUGACGCUGAUGGACGAAAGCGUGGGGGAGCGAACAGGAUUAGAUACCCUGGUAGUCCACGCUGUAAACGAUGCUAACUCGUUUUUGGGUUUUCGGACUCAGAGACCAAGCGAAAGUGAUAAGUUAGCCACCUGGGGAGUACGUUCGCAAGAAUGAAACUCAAAGGAAUUGACGG